rnacentral:rRNA from 1 species
CCUACGGGUGGCAGCAGUGGGGAAUAUUGGACAAUGGGGGGAACCCUGAUCCAGCCAUGCCGCGUGUGUGAAGAAGGCCCUCGGGUUGUAAAGCACUUUCAGUGAGGAAGAACGCCUGGUGGUUAAUACCCAUCAGGAAAGACAUCACUCACAGAAGAAGCACCGGCUAACUCCGUGCCAGCAGCCGCGGUAAUACGGAGGGUGCGAGCGUUAAUCGGAAUUACUGGGCGUAAAGCGCGCGUAGGUGGCUUGAUAAGCCGGUUGUGAAAGCCCCGGGCUCAACCUGGGAACGGCAUCCGGAACUGUCAAGCUAGAGUGCAGGAGAGGAAGGUAGAAUUCCCGGUGUAGCGGUGAAAUGCGUAGAGCUCGGGAGGAAUACCAGUGGCGAAGGCGGCCUUCUGGACUGACACUGACACUGAGGUGCGAAAGCGUGGGUAGCAAACAGGAUUAGAUACCCUGGUAGUC